rnacentral:rRNA from 1 species
GACGAACGCUGGCGGCGUGCUUAACACAUGCAAGUCGAACGGAAAGGCCCUGCUUUUGUGGGGUGCUCGAGUGGCGAACGGGUGAGUAACACGUGAGUAACCUGCCCUUGACUUUGGGAUAACUUCAGGAAACUGGGGCUAAUACCGGAUAGGAGCUCCUGCUGCAUGGUGGGGGUUGGAAAGUUUCGGUGGUUGGGGAUGGACUCGCGGCUUAUCAGCUUGUUGGUGGGGUAGUGGCUUACCAAGGCUUUGACGGGUAGCCGGCCUGAGAGGGUGACCGGCCACAUUGGGACUGAGAUACGGCUCAGACUCCUACGGGAGGCAGCAGUGGGGAAUAUUGCACAAUGGGCGGAAGCCUGAUGCAGCAACGCCGCGUGCGGGAUGACGGCCUUCGGGUUGUAAACCGCUUUCGCCUGUGACGAAGCGUGAGUGACGGUAAUGGGUAAAGAAGCACCGGCUAACUACGUG